UCCCUGUUACCAGGGCAGUCUGAAUAGAAAAAUUCAACUAUUCACAAGGGUUGCGCUCGUUGAUGGACUUAACCAAACAUCUCACGACACGAGCUGACGACGGCCAUGCAACACCUGUCACUUGGCUCUAAAAGCACUUUCUCCUUUCGGAGAAAUUCCAAGGAUGUCAAACCUGGGUAAGGUUCUUCGCUUACCAUCGAAUUAAAGAACACACUCCACCGCUUGUGCGGGUCCCCGUCAAUUCCUUUAUGUUUUAAGCUUGCGCUCGUACUCCACAGGCGGGAUGCUUAACGCGUUAGCUUCGCUACUAGUCGGGUCGAUACGACUAACAGCUAGCAUCCAUCGUUUACGGCGUGGACUAA
rnacentral:misc_RNA from 1 species